UACGGAGGGGGCUAGCGUUGUUCGGAAUUACUGGGCGUAAAGCGCACGUAGGCGGCUUUGUAAGUUAGAGGUGAAAGCCCGGGGCUCAACUCCGGAAUUGCCUUUAAAACUGCAUCGCUAGAAUUGUGGAGAGGUAAGUGGAAUUCCGAGUGUAGAGGUGAAAUUCGUAGAUAUUCGGAAGAACACCAGUGGCGAAGGCGACUUACUGGACACAUAUUGACGCUGAGGUGCGAAAGCGUGGGGAGCAACAGG
rnacentral:rRNA from 1 species